UUAGGUCUUCCGGCCCCGCACUCCACCAGAAGCAAUUGCGCUAUGUAGCCGUCUGUUGGAGUACACCCCCACUGCCCGCCUGACUCCCCUGGAGGCCUGUGCGCACUCUUUCUUCGAUGAACUACGGGACCCAAAUGUCAAGUUACCAAAUGGGCGAGAGAAACCUGCACUCUUCAAUUUCACCACUCAAGAACUGUCAAGUAACCCAUCUCUGGCUUCGAUCCUCAUCCCUGCUCAUGCCCGGAACCAAGCAGCUGCUUCAACCCCUACAAACGCUACAGCGGCCUCAGAUGUUAACGCAGGAGAACGAGUUCAGACCAAUAGUGUAGCUACAGCAUCAGCCUCCAACUCCACCUGAACCGGUACCAAGCAGCCAGCUGCACAGGAAAAAUCACCAGUAAUUUGAGUCUUGCUCAGCAACACUGGUCACAUUUGGAAAGAAAAUUAAAAAGAGGGAAAAAAAAAAAACCAACAAACCAACCAACCUGUUCAUUUUAGUGUUCAAUUUUUUAUUAUUAUUAUUGUUGUUCUUAUUUAACCUUGUAAAAUAUCUAUAAAUACAAACAGUUUCAUUGUA